rnacentral:lncRNA from 1 species
UAAAUCUUAUAAUUCAACCUUCACUACCCAAAGUAAUAUGCAUAUUCAAGUGACUAUAUAACACCUAUGUACAUGCCACCUUUACCCAAAAGAAAAAUAUACAUCACCAAAUUUGUGUUGGAGUCGGGAAUGUUCUGGAUGCUGAACCGGGACACUUGACUUCUACUAACCUGCGCACGGAAACAACCGUACGCUGAGUAUGGAUAUACUCAGUGAUAUUACCAUAAUUCAAAUUAUAUCAACAAUAGUAAAAAUAUAAAUAUUAAAAUACCUAACAAUUAAUGUCAUAUGUACUAAUUCAUAAAUCAAUGUAUUUUCUCAAACUUAAAUUUAUAUCACUUAUGAAUAUACAUUUCAUACUUUUCUCUUAUUAUCACAAUUCCAAUUUCAAUUCGUAAUUCAAUUUAUUUUUCUCGUUUCAAUGCCUCAAAUUCACAUUUCAAUUUUUCACCCUAUUAACGUAACUCGGACUUUGGCGGAUACACGGAUCCAACCAAACACACCAAUAUGGCACCCAGUGCCUCAUCGGAUAGUUCGAAGUAAUAGUUGACACCCAGUGUCUCAUCGGCCUAGCCGAAGUAAAGUUGGUACCCGGUACCUCAUCGAAUCUAUCCGAAGAAAUAUAGUGACAUCCAGUGUCUCAUCGACUCGAGGUCGAAGUAUCCCUGAACACUUCCAAUCCUAUGGCAUGCCAACUAUAUCCGACUCAGCCCGACUAGUUAAUAGGGUAUUCAAUUCACUUUCUCAAUCCUCUAUCAUCCCUGAACACUUCCAAUCCUAUGGCAUGUCAACUAUAUCCGACUCAGCCCGACUAGUUAAUAGGGUAUUCAAUUCACUUUCUCAAUCCUCUAUCACUUUCAAUUCACAAUUCAAAUCACCAAUCAUUUUUCAAUCAAUACGCUUUUCAAAUAAUUACAUCUUCCAUAAUUCACUUAUUCAAUUCAAUUUGAUUCAAUUUGCAUCACUUUCAUUUUCACUCAAUAUUCAUAUCAAUUUCACAUACUUACCUCAAGUCUUACUUACCAUACAUAACAAUAAAAAAAAUUCAGCAAUCAAUAAUAAUUAAAAUUCGAAUUAUAGUAAUACACACCGUAAUUCUCCCGUUUUAGUACUCGAUGACUUUCUCCUUUCCUUUCGAUGCUGAUGCUUCAGGUUCUUUGUUGGCUACGAAAAUAAUAAUUUAUAAUCAUCAAUACAACAUGAUUCAAUUUAAUUCAUGAGCCUAAACAUGCAAAUUUAACCAUUUUUAAUGUAUAUAUAUAAUUUCACCAUUAAGCUGUCUACUUGAGUCAUUGUUACUAAAUUAUUUAUAUCUUGAGCUACGAAACUCCAAAUUAAUAUCCGUAAAUUUUCCUUAAAACUAGACUCAUAUAUCUUCUAAUCAUAAAAUUUCCAGAAUUUUUGGUCUAGCCAUUUAAUACAGUUUAUUCGUUAAAUACUCCCCUGUUAUUUCAUUUGACAGUUCUGACCUCUCUCUACUAAAACUAAAUUAUCUCAUUGUACAGAACUCGAAUAAGGUUCUUGUUUAUUUAUUUUGAAACUAGAUUUAUUAAGGAGUUCACAUAUAUAAAUUACACUCCAUAAUAAUUUUUGUACAAUUUUUAAUGAUUUUCCAAAGUUAAAACAGGGCAUCUCGAAAUCACCCCGAACCAGUAUUACAAAAUUUCAAAUAUCUCUUGAUUCAUCAAUUAAUUGCUUACACUGUUUCUACUAUAAGAAACUAGACUCAAUAAGCUUUAAUUCCAUAUUUUGUUCAUCCUCUAGUUCAAUUUAUAAAAUUUUUAGUGAAUUUUCAAAGUCAGACCAUUGCUACUUCCCAAAACUGUUUUGAUGAAAAAUGUUAAUAACCAAAUUUAUAACACCAAUUCACACCUUAUUCCUAUUCAAAUUUCAUUUAAACUCAAAUUUAACUAUUAAAUUUUUAACAUAUUUUCUUAAUUCCUAAUUUUCCUCAAUCUAGUCCCUAAAACACAAAACUUAUAGCUUACUUUGCAAUUCAAUCCUUAUAUCUAUUCUAACUUGAAUUUCGUUCAAUUAAACCCCUAUUUCAUCAUUUUAUUCAACAUGAACUUUGUUUAAAAACCUAAGAACUUCGAAACUAACAACUUAAUUUCACCAAAAACUUGUUUUAAGACUUCUAAAAUAUCAAAAUUAUGAGAAAAGGACUUGAUUGAGCUUACCAAUUAACUCUAAGCUUCAUAAACCUUAUUUCCCCUUUUCUUUCUUCUUUCCUUUCUUUCUCCCCUGUUCUUCUCUGUU